AUUGAACGCUGGCGGCAGGCUUAACACAUGCAAGUCGAACGAGUGGCGGACGGGUGAGUAAUGUCUGGGAAACUGCCUGAUGGAUGGGGAUAACUACUGGAAACGGUAGCUAAUACCGCAUACCAUCAGAUGUGCCCAGAUGGGAUUAGCUAGUAGGUGGGGUAAAGGCUCACCUAGGCGACGAUCCCUAGCUGGUCUGAGAGGAUGACCAGCCACACUGGAACGGAGACACGGUCCAGACUCCUACGGGAGGCAGCAGUGGGGAAUAUUGCACAAUGGGCGCAAGCCUGAUGCAGCCAUGCCGGGUGUAUGAAGAAGUCCUUCGGGUUGUAAAGUACUUUCAGCGAGGAGGCGUUACUCGCAGAAGAAGCACCGGCUAACUCCGUGCCAGCAGCCGCGGUAAUUC
rnacentral:rRNA from 1 species